rnacentral:rRNA from 1 species
CCAGCACCCCGAGUGGUCGGGACGAUUAUUGGGCCUAAAGCAUCCGUAGCCGGUACUGCAAGUCUUCCGUUAAAUCCACCUGCUCAACAGUUGGGCUGCGGGGGAUACUACAGCGCUAGGAGGCGGGAGAGGCAAGCGGUACUUAAUGGGUAGGGGUAAAAUCCACUGAUCCAUUGAAGACCACCAGUGGCGAAGGCGGCUUGCCAGAACGCGCUCGACGGUGAGGGAUGAAAGCUGGGGGGAGCAAACCGGAUUAGAUACCCGGGUAGUCCCAGCUGUAAACGAUGCAGACUCGGCGAUGGGCUGGCCUUGUGCCAACCCAGUGCCGCAGGGAAGCCGUUAAGUCUGCCGCCUGGGGAUACGGUCGCAAGACUG